UCACUACUUGCGUAGGCAGUCUUCCUAGAGUGCUCAGCAUUACCUGAUGGCAACUAAGAACGAGGGUUGCGCUCGUUGCGGGACUUAACCCAACACCUCACGGCACGAGCUGACGACAGCCAUGCAGCACCUGUACAAGCUCCCCUUGCGGGACCCUGACUUUCAUCAGGAUUAGCUUGCGUUUCAAGCCUAGGUAAGGUUCUUCGCGUUGCGUCGAAUUAAACCACAUGCUCCACUGCUUGUGCGGGCCCCCGUCAAUUCCUUUGAGUUUCAACCUUGCGAUUGUACUUCCCAGGUGGAAUACUUAAUGCGUUAGCUAAGGCACCGCAGGGGUCGAUACCCGCGACACCGAGCACCCAUCGUUUACAGCGUGGACUAC
rnacentral:misc_RNA from 1 species